CAUAGAACUAGAAGGGCGUUACCUACUUACCUCCAAAUAAAAUGGGAGCCAAAGCACCAGAAUGUAAACCAGUGAAGAGGAGUGAACACUCUACUGUACGGGUAGGAGACUAGUAGUACAUGUGAGGGACUCCAAUUUAGAGUUAAGUAUGUUGGAUCUGAGAAUGUUAUCAGGAGACGUGGUGAUGCUGGAGCUCAGUGCUACUGACAUGUAGAUACUGCCUACGUACUUUGAGGACGGCUAGUAAGAAUAUGAGAGCUGACAAGCCGAAAACAGUUUUAGGUCUAAACAUGAAAGGAGUAUCACUUUAUGACGAGAGAUAAAAGAGUCAGAAGAUCAAGUUGAUGCAUCUCAGUCUUGUGACGAUCAAGUUCUGCUAGCACCAGUACAGGACUCCACUCCUCUCAAUCUAGCUCCAUCUUUUUGCACCUUAAUAACUAUUAAUAACUAUUAAUAACUAUAGUCUGUAACUCGGGUCCCAGUUGAUAAGGUUACUUAUGUUACUCAUGAUCCAGAGGAUCAGUACUACUUUGGAGUUAUACAAACUAAGGAGUCUCACACUGGAUUUAGGCUCUACCUCUUCAAAGCUGAGAGACCUAUGUGUAUAGUACCUUAUCAUGUCAUUAUGAUCAUACAUACAGUACACGUACAGUU